GCAUCCCAUACAUACACAGAAACACACCUUGCAGUCCUUACACAUACAAACACAAUUUCACACAAUGCAUUCCUUACACACAUAUCAGGACAUCCCCUACACACUCCACCCCCUGUGAACAAACUCAUUGGUGGAACAUGAAGGUGGACCCUGGGACCCAGACCUUGAUCUGUGUAAAGGACCCCCAAAAAAUGGAGCUGCUUCCAGUUCUCCCAGAACAUUGAUUUUUGUGACCACAAAAACAGUGGAGCCAGACUGCAGCUAGAGCCCAUCAUCAUCCUCAUCUGGUUGUAAGUAGGCAAUCUUGUAUAUUAUUCGUGGCACUAAGCUCUAAUUUACCUCACAUUAAAGAAACACUAUAGUCCCCAAAACCACUUCAGCUUAAUAUAGUGGUUCUGGUGUCUAUAGCCUGUCCCUGCAGGCCUUUUAAUGUAAACACGGCGGCACUGCAGCACUGGCGUUAGUUAACAUGGCAAAUCAUAUGGUUGGGGCAUUGUGAUGUCACAUGGGGGGCGGCAAACUUUACUUUUGCCUAGGGCGGCAAAAAUCCUUGUA